AGGGGAGUGAAAUAGAUCCUGAAACCGUAUGCAUACAAACAGUAGGAGCCUCCUUGUGGGGUGACUGCGUACCUUUUGUAUAAUGGGUCAGCGACUUACAUUCAGUGGCAAGGUUAACCGAAUAGGGAAGCCGUAGCGAAAGCGAGUCCGAAUAGGGCGAUUCAGUCGCUGGGUGUAGACCCGAAACCAGAUGAUCUAUCCAUGGCCAGGUUGAAGGCACGGUAACACGUGCUGGAGGACCGAACCCACUAAUGUUGAAAAAUUAGGGGAUGAGCUGUGGAUAGGGGUGAAAGGCUAAACAAAUCUGGAAAUAGCUGGUUCUCUCCGAAAACUAUUUAGGUAGUGCCUCAAGUAUUACUGCGGGGGGUAGAGCACUGUUAUAGCUAGGGGGUCAUGGCGACUUACCAAACUAUGGCAAACUCCGAAUACCCGCAAGUACAGCUUGGGAGACAGAGCACCGGGUGCUAACGUCCGGACUCAAGAGGGAAACAACCCAGACCGCCAGCUAAGGUCCCGAAUUAUCGCUAAGUGGGAAACGAAGUGGGAAGGCAUAGACAGUCAGGAGGUUGGCUUAGAAGCAGCCAUCCUUUAAAGAAAGCGUAAUAGCUCACUGAUCGAGUCGUCCUGCGCGGAAGAUGUAACGGGGCUAAGCGAUAAACCGAAGCUGCGGGUGUGCACUUUUAGUGCACGCGGUAGGAGAGCGUUCUGUAAGCCUGCGAAGGUGGCUUGUAAAGGCUGCUGGAGGUAUCAGAAGUGCGAAUGCUGACAUGAGUAGCGAUAAAGGGGGUGAAAAGCCCCCUCGCCGUAAGUCCAAGGUUUCCUGCGCAACGUUCAUCGGCGCAGGGUGAGUCGGCCCCUAAGGCGAGGCAGAGAUGCGUAGCUGAUGGGAAACUGGUUAAUAUUCCAGUACCGUCGUACAGUGCGAUGGGGGGACGGAUCGCGGAAGAUCAUCAGGGUGUUGGAUGUCCCUGUUGCUGUAUCGAAGAUGGCGCUUAGGCAAAUCCGGGCGCGUAAAUCAAGGGUAUGGCACGAGCGAGCAUUGCUUGCGAAGUGAUUGGAAGUGGUUCCAAGAAAAGCCUCUAAGCUUCAGCUGUACGAGACCGUACCGCAAACCGACACAGGUGGACGGGAUGAAUAUUCCAAGGCGCUUGAGAGAACUCAGGAGAAGGAACUCGGCAAAUUGAUACCGUAACUUCGGGAGAAGGUAUACCCCGGUAGUGUGAAGCGCCUGCGCGCUUAGCAUGAUGGGGUCGCAGAGAAUCGGUGGCUGCGACUGUUUAUUAAAAACACAGCACUCUGCAAAGACGAAAGUCGACGUAUAGGGUGUGACGCCUGCCCGGUGCCGGAAGGUUAAGUGAUGGGGUGCAAGCUCUUGAUCGAAGCCCCGGUAAACGGCGGCCGUAACUAUAACGGUCCUAAGGUAGCGAAAUUCCUUGUCGGGUAAGUUCCGACCUGCACGAAUGGCGUAACGAUGGCCACACUGUCUCCUCCUGAGACUCAGCGAAGUUGAAGUGUUUGUGAUGAUGCAAUCUACCCGCGGCUAGACGGAAAGACCCCAUGAACCUUUACUGUAGCUUUGCAUUGAUCUGUGAACCGGCCUGUGUAGGAUAGGUGGGAGGCUUUGAAGCGUGGUCGCUAGAUCACGUGGAGCCAUCCUUGAAAUACCACCCUGGUUUGUUUGCGGUUCUAACCUUGGUCCGUUAUCCGGAUCGGGGACAGUGCAUGGUGGGCAGUUUGACUGGGGCGGUCUCCUCCCAAAGUGUAACGGAGGAGUUCGAAGGUACGCUAGGUACGGUCGGAAAUCGUGCUGAUAGUGCAAUGGCAUAAGCGUGCUUGACUGUGAGACUGACAAGUCGAACAGGUGCGAAAGCAGGACAUAGUGAUCCGGUGGUUCUGAAUGGAAGGGCCAUCGCUCAACGGAUAAAAGGUACUCUGGGGAUAACAGGCUGAUACCGCCCAAGAGUUCAUAUCGACGGCGGUGUUUGGCACCUCGAUGUCGGCUCAUCUCAUCCUGGGGCUGUAGCCGGUCCCAAGGGUAUGGCUGUUCGCCAUUUAAAGAGGUACGUGAGCUGGGUUUAAAACGUCGUGAGACAGUUUGGUCCCUAUCUGCCGUGGGCGUUGGAUACUUGACGGAGCCUGCUCCUAGUACGAGAGGACCGGAGUGGACGUACCUCUGGUGUACCGGUUGUCAUGCCAAUGGCAUUGCCGGGUAGCUAAGUACGGAAGAGAUAACCGCUGAAGGCAUCUAAGCGGGAAACUCGUCUGAAGAUUAGGUAUCCCGGGGGCUUGAUCCCCCUAAAGAGUC
rnacentral:rRNA from 1 species